rnacentral:rRNA from 1 species
GGGGAAUUUUCCGCAAUGGGCGAAAGCCUGACGGAGCAAGACCGCGUGGGGGAUGAAGGUUUGUGGAUUGUAAACCCCUUUUGAUUGGGAAGAAUACUGACGGUACCAAUCGAAUAAGCCUCGGCUAACUCCGUGCCAGCAGCCGCGGUAAUACGGAGGAGGCAAGCGUUAUCCGGAAUUAUUGGGCGUAAAGCGUCCGUAGGUGGUUUAGUAAGUCUGCUGUUAAAGCGCGGGGCUUAACUCCGUAUCGGCAGUGGAAACUACUAGAUCUAGAGUGUGGUAGGGGUAGAGGGAAUUCCCAGUGUAGCGGUGAAAUGCGUAGAUAUUGGGAAGAACACCGGUGGCGAAAGCGCUCUACUGGGCCAUAACUGACACUGAUGGACGAAAGCUAGGGGAGCGAAAGGGAUUAGAUACCCCUGUCAGUC